rnacentral:rRNA from 1 species
UACGUAGGGGGCAAGCGUUAUCCGGAUUUACUGGGUGUAAAGGGAGCGUAGACGGCAGCACAAGUCUGAAGUGAAAUGCCGGGGCUUAACCCCGGAACUGCUUUGGAAACUGUGCAGCUAGAGUGCAGGAGGGGUAAGUGGAAUUCCUAGUGUAGCGGUGAAAUGCGUAGAUAUUAGGAGGAACACCAGUGGCGAAGGCGGCUUACUGGACUGUAACUGACGUUGAGGCUCGAAAGCGUGGGGAGCAAACAGG